rnacentral:lncRNA from 1 species
CGACUGCCAUGAAUGCCAUCUUCAUUCCAAAGACUCUUGACUCUUGAGUUUUCAUUUUUCAAUCCUUCCAGCAAAUCUUCAAUAAGGUUAAAUUUCUCAUCGCUAUAUAACAAUAAUGAUUUUAGUUAUUGAUGGGAAAUUAUUGGUUUAUUUAGUUACUGCAAUUUUAUUCUUACUGCAAUUUACUAAUUUCUCGUGAGUUGAUAGUUUGCAACUCUAUGAUUUUUGUUAUGGAUGGGAAAUAUACGGAUUUUUUUAUAUGCUUUUGCUAUUCAAUUGUGUGUCACUUAUGGGCUUUAUAUUUUGUUUCCUAGAAUUUCGAUUGUUUGACGGUGAAAAAAUAUAUUGUGGCUCAAUUGUGUGCAAAUCAAUAUUACGAUGGUGAAAUUUCAAGGAAUUCUUCCGGAUAUAUCUCAAAAGAAACAAGAGGCUAAAGAGGCUUGUGACUAUAUGUUUGAGGAAAAUCCUAUAGAUUUAGAAAUUGAAGGAGAGAGAAUAAAAGAGGAAUUUCAAGAAAUAAAUAAACAAUUCCAAAAACAAAGGAAAGAAAAAGUGAAGAGAAAAGUACAUGAAGGGAUUGAAACAUAUUUUUCUCCAAGGACUACUCCUGGAUCUCAACCUAGUUUGAAGAGUGUUUUAGAGGGUAAACAAGCAAUAAAGAGAGUCAAUAUGUCUUGGGCUAGGUGGUUUUAUGAUGCUUGCAUUCCAUAUAAUGCUUUCAAAUCAUCUUACUUUCAACUCGCUUUAGACGCUACUGCUGCGAUUGGCUCAGGAUUUAAAAGGUCCAUUUUAUAAUGACAUUCGUGUUAAUUUGUCAAGAGACCGCAAAAGAGAAUGUCAAUAAUUGAGAUCAAAAGCAUUUGUGAUGACAAGACAAAAGCAAUGGAAGAGAUCAUGUAUUGAGAUAGUGAAGGAAGUUUUGGCAGACAAUCUGCAUGCAUUACUAGAAAGACUUUACAACCUGGUGAGCUUUAAAUUUAAUUAUUUUUUUAUGUGUUUAGUUAAUAUAAUGCUUAAAACUAACUUUUAGAUAACAUGUAGAUGAAUGGUAGAAAUUUUAUGGAUAUAAUGCUCCAACUUUGCAAAAGAUAGCUGUUCGAAUUCUUGGUUAAACGGCUUCUUCUUUGGGAAGUAGAAGGAAUUGAAGUGUCUUCGAACACAUUCACACACACACACACACAAACAAACAAACAAAAAACAAAAAGGAUUGGAGCAUCAAAGACUCAAUGAUCUUUUCUAUGUUACAUAUAAUUUGUGGUUGAAGAAUAGGUAUAUAAUCUAAAACUCUUUACUAUGUCACAAGUUUAUUUUUAAUGCCUAGUUUAUCGAUAAUGUUUUCUUAAUAUAACUAAUUUUCGUGUACAACUCUAGACUUUAUUAUAAGAAGAGAUCGUAUGAUCCAUUUGAUUAUGAGUGCGUUGACAAGGCAAACUAUUAGAAAGAGGUAGAAAUACCACCUCGGAAUCAAGUUUAACUAUUUAAACUCAUUGUUGUAAUAUUUAUUAUGUUAGAAUUACUUCGGGGAUGUGCAUUAAUAUAUUACGUAAUUAAUCAAUUAUAUCAAAGCAUAGAUAUAGUCUUUAAUUUUAGCUAAUAUAUUGUUUUCUUAUGUUGCUUUAGAUGACAACGAAAAUAAUGACAAGCUCGAUACUCAAGGGACGGGUGAUUUGGAUGCAUUGGAUGUUAUUCAUCAUUUUGGUGGUUCACUUUAUCUUUGAAGUGAUCAAGGAUUCAGUCUUAUAGAUGAGAGCGAUGAAGAUUUAAUUUAACUAUUCAAUCUUUUGAUGUUUAGUGUACUUUUUGAAUUAAACUAUGUAACAUGACAUUUUUCUAUUGGUGAUCAAACUGAUGUGGAAUUUUUAACUAUUUAUGUUUUCAAAGUUUGAUAUUGUUAAUUACUUAAAAUUAUGAACUUUUCUUACAUUACGUAAAUGGAUUGAGGAGG